rnacentral:rRNA from 1 species
UACGUAGGGUGCGAGCGUUGUCCGGAAUUAUUGGGCGUAAAGAGCUCGUAGGCGGCCUGUCGCGUCGGAUGUGAAAGCCCGGGGCUUAACCCCGGGUCUGCAGUCGAUACGGGCAAACUAGAGUAUUGCAGGGGAGACUGGAAUUCCUGGUGUAGCGGUGAAAUGCGCAGAUAUCAGGAGGAACACCGGUGGCGAAGGCGGGUCUCUGGGCAAUAACUGACGCUGAGGAGCGAAAGCGUGGGGAGCGAACAGG